rnacentral:rRNA from 1 species
AACGAACGCUGGCGGCGUGCUUAACACAUGCAAGUCGAGUGCGCGUCCCGGUCGCAAGACCGGGAUGGCGCACGGCGCACGGGUGCGUAACACGUGGGCAAUCUGCCCUUCGAUGGGGAAUAACUCCGGGAAACCGAAGCUAAUUCCGCAUAACAUUCCGAGGACCCCGGUCUUUGGAUUCAAAGCCGUAAGGCGUCGAAGGAGGAGCCCGCGCACGAUUAGCUAGUUGGUGAGGUAACGGCNCACCAAGGCUAUGAUCGUUAGCUGGUCUGAGAGGAUGGCCAGCCACACUGGAACUGAGACACGGUCCAGACUCCUACGGGAGGCAGCAGUGGGGAAUCUUGCACAAUGGGCGAAAGCCUGAUGCAGCGACGCCGCGUGGGGGAUGAAGCAUUUCGGU